CCUACGGGGGGCAGCAGUCGAGAAUCUUCGGCAAUGGGCGCAAGCCUGACCGAGCGACGCCGCGUGUGGGAUGAAGGCCUUCGGGUUGUAAACCCCUGUUAGAGGGGAUGAAAUGCAGGUGGGUUCUCCCAUCUGUUUGACAUAGCCUCAGAGGAAGGACGGGCUAAGUUCGUGCCAGCAGCCGCGGUAAGACGAACCGUCCAAACGUUAUUCGGAAUCACUGGGCUUAGCGGGUGGGUAAGUGGGGCGUGAAAUACCUCGGCUCAACCGAGGAACUGCGCCCAAAACUGCCGUGCUCGAGGAAGAUAGAGGUGAGCGGAACUUAGGGUGGAGCGGUGAAAUGCGUUGAUAUCCUAAGGAACACCGGUGGCGAAAGCGGCUCACUGGAUCUUUUCUGACGCUGAGGCACGAAAGCUAGGGUAGCGAACGGGAUUAGAUACCCCAGUAGUC
rnacentral:rRNA from 1 species